rnacentral:rRNA from 1 species
UACGUAGGGGGCAAGCGUUGUCCGGAUUUAUUGGGCGUAAAGAGCGUGUAGGCGGCCAUACAGGUCCGUUGUGAAAACUGGAGGCUUAACCUCCAGACGUCGAUGGAAACCGUAUGGCUAGAGUCCGGAAGAGGAGAGUGGAAUUCCUGGUGUAGCGGUGAAAUGCGCAGAUAUCAGGAAGAACACCCGUGGCGAAGGCGGCUCUCUGGGACGGUACUGACGCUGAGACGCGAAAGCAUGGGGAGCGAACAGG